rnacentral:rRNA from 1 species
GACGAACGCUGGCGGCGUGCUUAACACAUGCAAGUCGAACGGAAAGGCCCUGCUUUUUUGGGGUUCUCGAGUGGCGAACGGGUGAGUAACACGUGAGUAACCGGCCCUUGACUUUGGUAUAACUUCACGAAACUGGGGCUAAUACCGGAUAGGAGCUCCUGCUCCAUGGUGGGGGUUGGACAGUUUCGGCGGUUGGGGAUGGAUUCGCGGCUAAUCAGCUUGUUAGUGGGGUAGUGGCUUACCAAGGCUUUGACCGGUAGGCGGCCUGGGAGGGUGACCGGGGGCCAUGCGACUGCGGUAGGGAGCAGAGGGCAAUGGGGGGUAAUGGUGGGAAGUAUUGCCCAGCGGGACCACGUGUGAUAAAAAAGCCCUCGGGGCGGAAUGCCCGCUUUUUGGGUAAAAAAAGCAUUAGCCUGAGACGCCGCUUGACUGACGGUACUCAGUAAAGAAGCACCGGCUAACUACGUG